UACGGAGGGUGCAAGCGUUGCUCGGAAUCACUGGGCGUAAAGCGACCGCAGGCGGUCUGACAAGUCGGAUGUGAAAGCCCUGGGCUCAACUCAGGAACUGCAUUCGAAACUGGCAGACUCGAGUACGGGAGAGGGGGGUGGAAUUCCUGGUGUAGGGGUGAAAUUCGUUGAUAUCAGGAGGAACACCGGUGGCGAAGGCGGUUCUCUGGGCCUUACCUGACGCUGAGGAGCGAAAGCGUGGGGAGCAAACAGG
rnacentral:rRNA from 1 species